AAUGAUCGGGAUGUGGACCUAUCCUCCCAAAAACAGCCCGAUCGACCGACAACAUCCUCCUCCCAGUUGCCGGUCAGACGAAUGGACGCCCGCCGGAUAACUCAUCCGGCGGGCGUCUUCG
rnacentral:sRNA from 1 species